rnacentral:lncRNA from 1 species
UGCGUGGAGAGUCUGGCAAGCGUGGAAAGGGGUCGGCCCCGAGUCGUGUGGCGCUUGGAGAGGCCGCUGGAGGCGAGGGCUGUUGCGGCGCUGAGGCGAAUACAUCUAGGGUUUCGGUGUUUUGGGGUUUGGGUAAUUGGGCCUAGUAGUUUUGCUGUAUUGGGCCAUGUCCUGUUUUGUGCGGGCUUGGGUUAUUUUUGUUUGUUUUUAUUAUUUUAAAAGCCCGGG